CACACUGCCACCCAGCUUAGUAUCACCAGCAAACUUGCUGAUGUUAUUCACAAUGCUUUCCUCUAAAUCAUAGAUGAUUGAGUCAAAAAUGACUGCGCAUAUUAUCCGAAAUGACCUUGCACGAGGAAUUCUGCAGACGCUGGAAAUUCAAGCAACACACAUCAAAGUUGCUGGUGAACGCAGCAGGCCAGGCAGCAUCUCUAGGAAGAGGGAAUACAGUCUCACAUGGCAAAACUGACAUCCUAGGGACUGGUCUUGUACUCCCUUGAUGGGUGCCAGGCCUUUUGCUGUUCCAUCAUUGGGUUAAUUCAAACACCGGCCCAGAUAGAUCGAGAAGGCACGAUGCCAGUCAGGACGAGAGCCAAUUUCGCUCAUUUUCCGCGAUGGUUAUCUCUACGGCACUGAGGCUAUGAAGACUGCCCCGGCUGCUGUGCUCCAUGCCUGCUAAUAUGAUGAACUGAUAAGCGAGGCUUUGGGCCUACUCCGGCUAUUCUGGAGUUUGGAUCUGAGGACUUAAUCUUGGUUUGGAAUGCUGUUGUUGUUUGCUUCAAUUGUUUGCAUGUUUUUUUUCUUUCUUUUUGCACAUCAAGUGUUAGUCUUUUAUUUUUUAUUUUUACUUGUUUUUUUCUUUAAUCGGGUUCUUUUUGGUUUUUUGCUUUGUAGCUACCCGCAAGCAAGUAAAUCUCAACAUUGUUGUGAUUUACACAUUCUUUGGUAAUAAAUGAAUC